UUCAGUCAGAUACAGAGAGGAAAGCUAAUUUUAAAAAUCUCUAGUAGCAGUCCAUCCCCGAACUUAUCCACCUCUUACCACAAACUGAACCUGCUUGAACAAACUGUAAACAUCCCAGCGGGACUCACUAAUUGUGCACUUUUUUGUAACGCUCCGUGAUUUUUUAAUUGGUCUUAUUAGAUCAGGCAGUGAAGGGAGCAGAUUGCUGACAUUACUUUCAGUAAGGACUCCCCAGGAUGGCUGUGCGGCGGAGAGACACCCAGGGACCCAUCUGCAUACCCUCUAGUCUGCGUCACCAGGCAGAGUCACAUAACGAAACGCAAGGAGGGGAGCAGCAAAUACCAGGAAAGGUGCCAAUUAAAAAAAAAAAAACGCGGGGACUAAUUUGUAAGAGAAUCCACAGCCUAUUUUUUCUUCAGGAAUUAGACGAGCCCAUUGGACUGAUUCGGUUUAAAGUGUUUAACCCGAGUCAGGCCAAAGUUGCAGAAACCUCUUUCUGGCACGGACAGUAGUGUUCUACUUAUACCCUAAUGACCUUACACAUAUAUUUUGAUCCUGCCACUUAAAACUUCAGAGCCUUAUAUUUUUUAUGUGUUAUCUUGAGCUUGUAUUAAUUUACAGCUAUUUCUAUGAUAGAGACCUCUGGGAUUCCUGAAAAACUUUUCGUUAUCAAGAUCUAAGCAAUGCAGCGUCAAUGCCAUUGGAAAAUCCCCCAGACCUUGUUCAUUCUCUCCCUGGAUUAUCAAUGUGAUGUUCUUUCCCCUUUCGAGGAUCUGUUGAUCUUCUUACUUUAAGUGGUCUUCCUCCAUAGAACACUUUGAAAGCUUAGAAGCCUUCAGCGCUUCAGGUGCUGAAAUGUCAGUUUUGUGUGGGUGAAGGGAUUUAAGGAGUAAAUGGUGUGUUACUUGCAGGUACCUCUAUGCAGUAUGAGGGCAUAGUAAAGUAACAUGAAAAAUGUGCUUGUAGGAAACUCAAAACGCUCAGCAUUCCUCUUCUGAUUUUAGCCUGUGAGACGUAUCAUUAUGGUGCGUACAUGUUGUAUGCAGAUUUGACUUGAUGCUCUAUAUUGCACUAUACUAACUUCACUAACUUCCAAAACCAUCUAAUGUUUCCAAUGCAAAUAUUUAGAUUAGUACCCUGUUUUUUAAUCCUUUGCUUUAUGGCCAAAUAUCCUAACAUCUGUCGUUGCACAGAUAAGCUACAGCAACUCCUUGCCAUUAAAUGUAAUUAAACACUGAGAGUACCCUGUUUUUCUCCAUAGCUAGUAAGUGACUUGCUUCUGUACGGAAGGAACUUCCUCAGGAAGGAACUUCCUCAGCUGUUUCUUUCAUCUCCCACACUAAUUCUCUCCAGGGGUGUUAAAUCAUCAAGGGGGGCUCGACGAUAUCAGGCUCAAGGUACAAGCGAACCUGUCGCGCAACCAAAUGAACGCACUCUCAGGUUUAUGGUCCCAUCAGAGCGCAGGCUAACGCGCAUGCACAUGUGCAUGCACAUGCGUCAUUCUGCAUAAGACAAUGUAUCUCCUGAUCUCACCAGCUGCUAUCAGUUGAACUGUAGAUUGGACACUGAGAUAUUUCAGCUGCUUGCCAAGAAGGUCACCCAGACACAGUCUUCAAUGAAACAAUUAUCUAGAAGCAAUCUGAACGUCUGCAUCCCACCCAAGGCCUAGUUUGGUGUGAACCUCGCUUUUUGCCCAGAGAGCUGCAGGAAUACUAAAAGGACGAAGGGCAUCGCAGAGGUUUGAGGUUAUUCAGACGCUAAUUAACUGGACUCUGACCAGCUGCAGGGACGUGGCUCGAAGCGGUAGGGUGAUACGGCGGAUCGGUGAGACGAAGGUGGACCGUGGCUGAGGUCACACAAGUAAGAGCACAGAAGAGCAGAGAAGCAGAAGCCCAGAAGAGAACCUUGAAAAAAGAGCAGCACUGACAAGAGGCUCCGCUGAAUUCUAAUGGGAGUUCAAGCUACUUUGGUCCCUCCAAGGUUUGUGACCUUAGCACAGUGGUCGUUUCCCUGCCUCAAUUAUCAUGUCAUGCAGAUCUUCAGGCUACAACUACAUGCAAUUCAGUCCGUGUUUGAAUGAGGAAAGAGCAGAGGUGGAGAUUUCAGGCCCAGAGAGUUCAAAUCCAGACCAAGAUUUUUGUACACAACUGAUGGGUUGAAACAAAAUCUUGGUCUUGGUUUGUACUCUCUGGACCUGAAAUCUCCACCUCUGGGAAAGAGUUGUAUCCACAUCCUUGCCACAAAACUGAAUACAUUUGGAUUGGAUCUUGGCCUCCAUCAAGUGCACGGCUUGUCUUCACUCUUUUGUGAUUUUCACGGACAGGAUACAAGGCCGCAGCUGCAUCUGCGAGCAUGUCUGGUAUGGGAAGCUAGACGUGACAUUGCCGAUAUUUGCAGACAAUGUUGUGCGUUUGCCUUGUUUGACUAGUAUCUCCUGCAAGCACUUUGAUCCAAGCGUAAAGCAGCAAGGAUGAGAAACAGCACCUCCAAAUCCAAGGUCACUGUACUCUCUUGGAAAAGACUGAAUUGCUCCUUUCGUGGUUCGGGGGAGGCAGUCUGCCCUUAGUGAAGGAGUUUAAGUACCUUGGGAUCUUGUUCCUGAGUGAUAGUUAGAGGGAACAGGAGACUGACAGGUGGAUCGGUUUGGUAACUGUAGAGGUCUGUGGCAGUAAAGCAGCAAUUAAGUUGUAAGAUGAGACUCGGGAUUUACCGGCCAGUCUAUGUCCUAACCCUCAUCUAAGGUCAUGGGCUGUGGGUAAUAACCGAAAAAAAAAGUUGUAAGUGCAAACAGCUGGAAUAAAGUUUCUCUGCUGGAUUGCUGGAUACAAUCUACAUGACGGGGUGAGAAGGUCGGAGAUCUGGAGGGACCUUGAAAUAGAGCUACGACUCCUACGGGUAGAGAGAAAUCAGCUGAUGUGGUUCUGGAGUCUUAAAACGAUGCCACCUGGAUGGAUCCCACGGGAACUAUUCCAGGCAUGUCUCACUGGGUGAAGGCCGCGGGAAGACCCCAGAAAACGGGACACACAAACGUAUAUCUCCGCGGCGGCUUGAGGCAUUGAAAAAUACGCCUGGUCUAAUGUGCUCACCAUGCUGCCACUGCAACCCUCACGAAGAAAAGCAUCAGAAAAUGAUGAUGAUGAUGAUGAUGAUGAUGAUGAUGAUGUGGCAGAUGAUAACAAUUUGAUAUGCCAAUUAAAUUCAUCUUUCUUCUUUACCA